UGAGGCGCCGCCAUCGGCUCUGAGCCUGCAGCGCCCACUGUCCCGCCACACCACGCCCAGGAGCCGCUGUGCCGUGGGACCAAGACCCCGCGAGCGCCGCGGCACCGAGGGCCUGGCUCACGCUCUCCUCUCCCGGGAAGGCGACACGGAGACUUCGGUGCUGCCUCCUCAGCUUCACCAGCCCUACGGCCUCAGCCACCUUCUGCCCUGUGAACACAUUUUUGCACCUCAACUUCACAGACUCUGAAACUGAAAUUGGAAUCACCUCUGUGUGCACCGUGUGACUUCUCUUAGAACCUCAAAACAGACGGAAGGAAACCACGACAAAGGAAAGAAGAUGAGGAAGAGGACAGCCACCCACAUGCUACUGAGCUCCCCAGGACAAUGGCAGGUGACAGCCAGGCAGGUCAGGGAAGACCACCUGUGACCACAUGUUCCAACUGAUUUCAACCCCCUGGAAAGCUGCCUGCCACAGACCCGGCCCCGGCACAAAGCACGAAGUGAAGGUUGUGAGGCUGAGACCAGGUGGGCGAGGCCAUCAGGUGAGGACAGGUGGGUCAGCUGUGCUUGAGGCCAAGCGAGUACAGGCAGGAGGGGAGGGCCGAAGAUUAUUAACAUGGCCAGAAGGUCGGACCUGGAAGGCAAAGCCAGGAGAUUGAAGCAAGAAGGAGGUAAGAGCAAGAAGGUUAAGGCUGGUGAACAGGGCCAGGGGGCAGGCAAGGAGGCUACAGCUGGUGGGUAAGACCAGAGUGGUGAUGCCAAGAUGUUAGGCCAGGCAAGCAAGCCAGGUACGGAGGAGGAAGAGGUUAAGGCCAGGUGAGCAGGGAAGAGGAGGGGAAGGAGGAGGGAAGGGAUGGCCAACUGUGACCGCCCCACCCCGGCGCCCACAGCUCCCCCGUCCAGCCGGGGUGCAGGUGCUGCACGUCCCCUGCGCCAGGAAGCAAAGGCAGCUUGGCCGGAGGAUGCCAGCCCUCACCUGCCGGGCACUGUGGGCCACAGCACGUGUGGCCCCAGCUACAGUCUCCAACAGGCCGCAUCUGCGACAGAAGUCCCCAGCUCCCUCUCACUUGCGUACAUCACGUGUGGUCACGUCUCUUGCACUCCAGAGAGAAGCAAGAAGCAAACAAGGUGGCAAAUCCCACGGCCACGCAUCCAUGAGCCCCUGGGGCCUGCCUGCACCUGCUGCUCCCAUGAGAUGGGUCAGGGCCCGGGCGCCAGGGUGGGGCAGGGGGGGCAACACGAGGGCAGCUUUCUCAACAGCACCAACUCUGGGCCGGGGGCUCUGCCAGGGGCUGUCAGUCACCCACCAGGUCUGGGAGCGCACCCACCCCGCCCCACCGAGACAGUCAUGGCCCUUCCUGAACAUUGCACCAUCUCCCUCUGCACAGAACCACGGACUCAAAGUGCGGUUUGAGGCUGCACUGUCUCUAAGACCCAGCUUCUCUGCAGAGCUAACAGAUAAAUAAGUACGUUUAGUAGUUAAUAUACUAAUUAAGGCUAUAUGCUCAACCUUGAUUUCUAAUUAAGAACAUGAGACCUACACGACCAGAAAUCGGCCUAAAAGGAAGCCAGGCAGCAGCUCCCCAUGGCUGUCCGUAAAUGCCUGUCUUGGGAGCACCAGCUCACCCCACAGUGAUUCUGACAAACACAGAGAGUGACUAUUUCAUAACGCAACAUGUGUCAAAAUCUCAAAGGAAGUGCAAGCUCUCCUUCCAUACAGGAAAUUAGAAAACAAAAAUACCAGUUAGAAUUUUUUUGUUCAUAGACAAUCUGAGCAGCAACACAAAAUUUCUGCCAGCCAACAUGGGAGCACAGUGAGCUGGCUGAAAUGGAGCCCUGACAGGCAGAGCUGCCGCCCCUGGGUCAACACGCCUGGACAGCAGGUGCCGUGACUGCGGUGGCCUCCAGGAAGGCUCUGCUCCCAGUGCAGUGGCACAGGAGGCUGGGUGCUGGGGAAGUGCCCAGGUCCUGAGGGUGGAGCCUCAGGGUGGGGCCAGAGCCCUUAAAGAAAGGACCAGAGAGCUGCUUCCCCUCCCCGACAUGGAGACACAGUGACAGGCGUCCAGAGGAGGAGGGCAGAGAACGCAGGGGACCACUAACUAACUCAGGCUAGAGGCCACCCAGCUGCACAGGUCUGCCACGGUGGCUGCAGCUGGUGACCAUGGACCAGGGGUCAUGCUGUGUCCAGUAAAACUCCAUCUGCAGAGCAGGCCACGGAAGUCUGGCGGCACUCAGCACAGGUGCAAAGACACCACGCUGGGGCCAAACCACAGGGUGGAGGGUAAUAGUGACACAAAACCCGAGAGAAGAGGCCACAGAACAUGGCCAUGACCAAUCUUGCCCAGAGACAAGGCCACAGAUGUGCCGUGGGAGCCCACACAUGCCACAGGAGGACGGAAACUGUGUCCAGCACCAGGGCUACCCACCACAGGUUGCACCAUGGGACAAGAGCGCUCGUGCUGCCUCACGCGCCCACACCCAUUGGACGAGGUUGAAAAAGAUACAAAUUUGCCCUCACUUGCCCUCGUGAAAACCAUUAAAAACUUAUUUAUUCUACCGAUGGCUUCCCUUUUAUCAGCAACAACCUGGCAGACAGAAAUCCAGUCCCUUUUACAACAGCCACAAACCACGAAGGAAUGAUCUUAACAAGUGCUCAGAGCUGAGAGCUACAUGGUGUCACUGAGGGACACCUGAUGGCCGGAGCCCAUCCAUGCAUUGGCAGAAACGCUAACAUGGCAGCCCACACGUGAUGAGCACGACUGCAGACAGCUGCCUGAAAGCCAAUGUGCCGGCCAGGAGGGCCCAGCCUCCCACUUCCCAGCUCCCGGCCUCGUCCACUACCUGCCCAAGGCCACCAGGAUUUGGCCAUGGUGGGGUCUGGUCUCAAGAGCCCGUGAGACCCACUUGGCUGGCGCAUCACGCCCAGCACAAGGAACUGGGGGCAGCGCUAGCCCACAGGCCUCAAGGGACUGGACCCCACACCAGGAGCCACCCAGCAAAACCCAACACACUGGCAGAACCCAACACAUGCCUGGCAGAACCAAACACACGCCUGACAGAACCCAGCAUAAUCCAACACACACCCAACAGAACCCAGCAGAACCCGACACACACCCAACAGAGCCCAGCAGAAUCCGACACACACCCAACAGAACCCAGCAGAACCCAACACACACCCAACAGAGCCCAGCAGAAUCCGACACACACCCAACAGAACCCAGCAGAACCCGACACACACCUUACAGAGCCCAGCAGAACCCAACACACACCCAACAGAACCCAGCAGAGUCCAACACACACCCAACAGAACCCAGAAGAACCCAACACAUGCCUAACAGAGCCCAGCAGAACCCAACAGAAUCCAGCAGAACCCAACAGAGCCCAGGAGAAUCCAACAUACACCUGAUAAGAGCCCAGCAGAACCCAACAGAGCCCAGCAGAACCCAACACACACCCGACAGAGCCCAGCAGAACCCAACACACACCCAACAGAGCCCAGCAGAACCCAACACACACCCAACAGAACCCAGCACACACCCGACAGAACCUGACACACACCUGACAGAGCCCAGCAGAACCCAACCGAACCCCAUACACACCCAACAGAACCCAAUACACACCUGACAGAGCCUAGCAGAACCCAACAGAACCCAGUACAUACCCAACAGAACCCCCCACACACCCAACAGAACCCAGUGGAACCCCACACACCCCCGGCAGAACCCGACGGAGCAGCUGAAAGCCGCGGAAGGCUGCAGGGAGGGAGGUGUGGCGCAGGGAGAGGGCCUCCCCCCGCCCCC